CGAGCUGCCAGCGCAAGUGAUGCUUGAAAGUUCGAUUUCAACAUUGAAGGGAAGUCUGGACAGCAAUGAGAAAUACCACCAAAUCUACUUCAAGAACAUCUUUGAGAAAAUCUAUCCUGCAUAUAUUGUAAUCUGCCACUCACCUGACCACUUUGCAGUGGGUAGUUAAACUACUGUCCCGUAUACUUCUAGGUUAUGGGAGGAGACAGGAGCACCUAGAGGAAAUCCACAUGGUCAUGGUAAGAAUGUACAAGUUCCACAGAGGUAACACCCUGGAGGUAAGGAUUAAACCCAGGUCAU